rnacentral:rRNA from 1 species
AUUGAACGCUGGCGGCAUGCCUUACACAAGCAAGUCGAACGGUAACGCGGGGCAACCUGGCGACGAGUGGCGAACGGGUGAGUAAUGCAUCGGAACGUGCCCAGUAGUGGGGGAUAGCCCGGCGAAAGCCGGAUUAAUACCGCAUACGACCUACGGGUGAAAGGGGGGGAUCGCAAGACCUCUCGCUAUUGGAGCGGCCGAUGUCAGAUUAGGUAGUUGGUGGGGUAAAGGCCUACCAAGCCGACGAUCUGUAGCGGGUCUGAGAGGACGACCAGCCACACGGGGACUGAGACACGGCCCAGACUCCUACGGGAGGGAGCAGUUGGGAAUUUAGGACAAUGGGCGCAAGCCUGAUCCAGCCAUGCCGCGUGUGGGAAGAAUGCCUUCUGGUUGUAAACCGCUUUUGUCAGGGAAGAAAUCUUCUGGGGUAAUACCUCGGGAGGAUGACGGUACCUGAAGAAUAAGCACCGGCUAACUACGUGCCAGCCGCCGCAGUAAAAC